rnacentral:misc_RNA from 1 species
UCAGGACUAGUCACAAGUAAAGGAUACCCACCGUAAAAUCACGCUACCUCUUUUCAGCUGAAUGGAUAAC